UGUGCCAGCAGCCGCGGUAAUACGAAGGGUGCAAGCGUUACUCGGAAUUACUGGGCGUAAAGCGUGCGUAGGUGGUUCGUUAAGUCUGAUGUGAAAGCCCUGGGCUCAACCUGGGAACUGCAUUGGAUACUGGCGAUCUGGAGUGCGGUAGAGGGUAGCGGAAUUCCCGGUGUAGCAGUGAAAUGCGUAGAUAUCGGGAGGAACAUCCGUGGCGAAGGCGGCUACCUGAACCAGCACUGACACUGAGGCACGAAAGCGUGGGGAGCAAACAGGA
rnacentral:rRNA from 1 species